rnacentral:rRNA from 1 species
CGCCGUUUUAUCAAAAACAUGUCUUAUAGAAAAUAAUUUUAAGUCAAAUCUGCCCAAUGAAAAUUUAAAUGGCUGCAGUAUCAAUAACUGUACAAAGGUAGCAUAAUAAAUAGUUUUUUAAUUAAAAACUAGAAUGAAUGAUUUAAUGAAAUAUAAACUAUAUAAAAAUAAUUAAAAUUUAAAAUUAGAAUUUAAGUAAAAAUUCUUAAAUUUUAUUAAAAGACGAUAAGACCCUAUAGAAUUUUAUAAUAAAUUAUAAAAUAUUAAAAUUUAUUAUUUAAUUGGGGUAAUUUUAAAAUUAUUUAAACUUUUAAUAUAAAAACAUUAAUUAAUGAUUUAAAAAUCCUAAACUUUAGAUUUUCAAAAUAAAUUACCUUAGG